GCCGCCCGCGCCACCGCGCACCGCUGUGUGUGUGCAUGUGUGUGUGUAUGUGUGUACGCGCGCGCGCGAUUGUGCCUCCAGCGAACCGGGUGAUGCCUCCCAACGGUGCCCUUCCUGCGUCCCUGCUCCCCUCCAGGUCCCUUUUGAAGUUUCGUGCUCACUUCCACCGCACAGUUGAGAAGCCUAGUUGUGGACACGUGGAAGGAUGGGGCUGUCGAGGAAAGGGGCUCAGGAGGCACUUGGAACGGUGGUAGUGUGUGUGAUCUGCCAUCGUGAGGAAGACAAGAACAGAUGUGGCACUGCUGUUUACUUUUUGUUUUUUUUUUCAAUUUGUUUUUCAAAAGCAAGCCAGACGGAAAUACAAGUGUCAGUGCGAGGAGAGCAAUGCUUUUUGGAGAGGUGGUUGGUGGGGUAUUUUGUCCUGCCUAUUUAAUAGUCUCCAGAUCUUAAUAGACUUGGGGCUCUUAAGGAUGUUUGUGAGAUUUGAAUCAUAUCCUGGAACGUUGCUUAUCUCUGUUGCAUGGACGAUAUUACUUGGUUAUCUCUUCCUGUAGAUUGUUUGGAAAUGUUCAGAUUUGCUUCCAUCUGAAACGUAUCAGCCAGUUAUUUGCAUGAAACUCAACUUGGAGGAAGAAGACUUUCGAAGUAUGGAAACCGAGUCGUUUCUAUAUUGAUACUGUACAUAUAGGACUUCCUGAGUCACCUGGGCUUCCUGGGAGGUGUGUUACUAUGUUAGUGGAAGUUGCACUUAAUUUUUGAAUCCUUUUAUUUUUCAAAAUAGUCCUAGUGUCUGCUGUUGCCUCUCCCUUUCCCCUUUCAAUUCGUGAAAGCUGAAAAAGAAUAGGUAGAAUGCGUAGGUACAGGGAGAUGUGAGAUGACUAAAUCUGAUUUCAGUUCUUGGUAAUUAUGUCUUGUUAAUGGCAACUCACAGUGCCUUGUCAGUAACAGCAUUUUGUUGGUGUGUUGAGCAAUCACUUUUAUUGCUUUUUCUUCAAGUAGCUUAUGAGGCCAACAGAACUUUUACCCUGGAUUACAGUUAUUUUAUUAUUUACUUGCUGGGGAACAAUAUUUUACCUGCAAUGUGUAUUAAAGGAUUUGUUCUUUGGAGUGGAUUUAGGAGGCAUUGGAGUAACAUUCUUUUGCAUUAUUUUAAACCCAUUGUGGUGUUUAGGUUAGAGGCAAGGUUGAGAAGAAGCACAUUUAAUGCCAUUAAUAAUACCUAUGUGAUCGCAGGCUACCUAGGUGAAAUAUUGUAUUAUGUACACUCCUGAGCGCGCUUAAGUGAUGUCUCAUCUUUAUUGAAUUUGUUUACUGUGAUUUAUAGCUGUCUGCCUAUGUUUGUUCUUACCACAGUAGACUCACCGUUCUCCAAGUCUACCACUGACUCCAUAAGCAUUGUCUGUAAUUGUUAACAUCUCAGUGUCAGGGUUUCUAUUUCCCACAUUGUGUUCUCUGAACGAUGGCUGAGGGUCCAUUAGUGGCUUGGAGAAGAUUUACGAUGACUCUGUGAUUGCAAAAUUCUCCCUUCUCUAGGGGUCUUGUGAAAGGAGAGCUGGAUUAGUGAAAAGGAAGAGAGAAAAGGAUAAAAAUAGAAACUUUGAAAAUGUAUUCAUUUGUUCCUUUGUUCAAUUAAUUUAUCUAUUCAGAGACCGUUUUAUUGAGCACCUACUAUGUGGCAGGCACUGUUCUAGGAGCUGGAGCUACUAUCCUUCCCUGGUCCAGGGAAAUGCCUUAGUGCAAAUAGCCAACUGAUUCAUGCUGCCUUUCUUUCUGGGCCUCAUAGCAUCUUCCUUUGGCAGUUCUUUUCAAAGUGCCCACAGUUAAUGACAAAUCUAUAGCAACCAAGUUCUUGGUUCAUCCUCUGAGGCUGCUGUGCAAUUGUAAUGCUCUUCACCAGCUCCCAGGACUUAACACCAAUCACCCACUAACAGUUUGUACCCCGGUGUCCUCUUGCGUGUUCUCAAGUUGCCGUAAAACUUAUAUUUUAACAUUUGGCAUCAUACUCUGCCUUUAUUUGUAGCCUCAUCCUCAUGCCCUUAGGAAGGCAGUUUGGGCCAGAAUACAAAAUAAGUGACAUAAAGAGAGGUCACAGAGAAGAAAACUGCAUGAUGGGAACGUGCUGAACUGAGGAGAGUAAGUUCAGGACAUUUGGCUCACACUCACUGGAUGAGAAUGUGAAAUACUUAAGAGUAUGGGGAAAACAUGCAUUAAGGUCUUUCUGUCAUUCAUUAUAGAUAUUUAAGGAAAAUAUUUCAGGCAUAAUAACAUUGUAUAGAUUUACAGGAUGGCAUUGAAGAGUCAGUGUGUCGAUACAAAUGAACAACAAUAAAAAAUCCAGAAAGUGGCAAGUGCUAUGAAGGUUAAAAAAAGGUGAUGAG